rnacentral:lncRNA from 1 species
CCUAUCAGUAUUGUAAGGUCGACUUCUGUUGGAAUGAAUUAUGACGAAAUUUAGUAAACGUCUUUAUACUUAGCAUUUGAAUGGACAUAGACUUAUAAUUCAGAGUGUAGUUACAUUACAAAUUGUAUUUGAACUUGAUCAGGGUUAUAUAUACAGUGCAGAUAAAAAAAAGAUCAAAGCAUGGGAUUUAAAAUUUUGAUGUGUAUGACGCCGAUGCUCUUGGUGGCAUGGGCGGCCAGUGUGUCUAACUUAGAUUGUACCAAAAUUUGUACGGACCCAAAUCGUCAUGAUGAAAGUGAUGCUGCCCACUGCGGCUGUCCCCACUCACACAACCAUGGUCACGCCACGGCAGCACCAGCUACGUUCCACCAGACCACACUCUCGUUAUGCGACUAUCUCUGCUCCAUACAGAUGGGCGGCUCGGCAUGUGACUGCUCCGUGUCUAUUGUUCCGGGAAAAUGAAAUGUCAAACUGUCCUGAAUAAGAAACAUAUUUAUUUAUCUA